rnacentral:rRNA from 1 species
AGAGCGAACGCUGGCGGCAGGCCUAACACAUGCAAGUCGAACGGACCCUUCGGGGUUAGUGGCGGACGGGUGAGUAACACGUGGGAACGUGCCUUUAGGUUCGGAAUAGCUCCUGGAAACGGGUGGUAAUGCCGAAUGUGCCCUUCGGGGGAAAGAUUUAUCGCCUUUAGAGCGGCCCGCGUCUGAUUAGCUAGUUGGUGAGGUAAAGGCUCACCAAGGCUACGAUCAGUAGCUGGUCUGAGAGGAUGACCAGCCACAUUGGGACUGAGACACGGCCCAAACUCCUACGGGAGGCAGCAGUGGGGAAUCGUUGCGCAAGUGGGACGAAAGCCUGACGCAGCCAUGCCGCGUGAAUGAUGGAAGGUCUUAGGAUUAGUAAAUUCUUUCAGUAGGGACAUAAGUGACGGUACUACAGAAGAAGCCCGACUAACUUCGUGCCAGCACGCCGC